rnacentral:sRNA from 1 species
UGGCACAGGUAAAUGGGCCCUCUCUCGGCCU